GAUGAUUUACAAUGGGGUAAAACCCCUCUAUUUAUAGGAGGAAAAAUGACUGCCUCAAAAUAAGACUAUCUACAAGAUAGACAUUCACUCUAAUUAGAAUUCUAUUCUUAACAAUAUCUUCUUUUUUUCUAUCUAAAAUCAAUAUGGACCCACCUAAUUCAUACCUCUUUCUUCUCCGAUUUUCCUCCACCAUUAUAUGCCUCAAGCUAUCUUCUCCACCUUCCACUCCAUGCUAGAAAAAAAUAUAUAUCAAGGACACAACUUUCAUCACCACCACAAUCAAUGUCAACCACUAAACAACAUUACAAAUCAAAAAUUAAUGUAUCUCCAUUGUUACACCACCACAGAAAUUUUCACUUUCUUCAAUCUCUCUUAUUGACCCAAAAUCUGGAGGAAAAAAACUCAUCUAAAACCUUUCAAUUUCAUCAUAAUUAGAUCUGACAAUUGGUUCUUUGCGAUGAUAAUAUAUCAAUCAAGUGGGUUGGUACGAUUUUUGAUUUGGUUUUGAAAAGAAGAAAAAGAGUGAAGGGGGCUUUGACAGCCGGCAGCAUAAGGGUUGGGGCUUCGAAGAGCAACAAAUU
rnacentral:lncRNA from 1 species